CGUCAUACACCUGCACCCGGGAGGAAAGGCGAGGCUCUGCAUCUAGAUUUACCUCGUUCUCUUUUGUCUCCGCUUUUUUUUCACAUUUCCUUGCGACCCUGGCCCUUGAGCGACAAAAAGGGGAAGCCAAGGCUGGCCCGAGGAACGGAGAGGGCACAUGGCCUAGCCACAAGUGGAGCUUCUGCUCCGCCCGAAGGGAUGCGCUGGAGCGGCCUCUUCCUUCUGCCACGGUCUUUCUUUGCCAACUAUAGAGAUGGGGUUUCACCAGGUUAGCCAGGCUGGUCUUGAACUCCAGACCUCAAGGGAUCCGCCUGCCUCAGCUUUCCAAAGUGCUGGGAUUACAGGUGGAGACUGGACCUCAGAAGAGGGAGUGGGUGCCCCGAGAACUCACAGCUAGCGGACAGUGGAAAGGGCAGGAGCCGGACCAAGGUGAGGACAGUGGAACUGAAGGCCGCUGGUUACCUCUCCUGCCCUCCGCUGGCCACAGUGGAGAAGACAGCCCCUCCCUCCUGCUCUGACCUGACAGUGUUCAUCCAUCGCCCUGUAUUAGCGAAGAACAACAUCAAGCUGGCUAGCAAGGAACUGUAUACAGGGUCCAGCUGGGUAUCACACUGGAUCUCACCCAAAGCUUAGAUGUGAUCCAGCUCAGUAUCACAAAGCAGAACGAAAAGGAUGUGUUUGGGCUGAGAGGCCAUACAUUGAUGGAGUCUUGCUCUGUCGCCCAGGCUGGAGUCCAGUGGCGCGAUCUCGGUUCACUGCAAGCUCUGCCUCCCGAGUUCAUGCCAUUCUCCUGCCUCAGCCUCCUGAGUAGCUGGGACUACAGGCACCUGCCACCACGGCUGGCUAAUUUUUUUUUUUUUUUUUUUGAAAUGGAGUCUUGCUCUGUUGCCCAGGCUGGAGUGCAGUGGCGCGAUCUCAGCUCACUGCAAACUCCGCCUCCCGAGUUCAUGCCAUUCUCUUGCCUCAGCCUCCCGAGUAGCUGGGACUACAGGAGCCCACCACCAUGCCCGGCUAAUUUUUUGUAUUUUUAGUAGAGACGGGGUUUCACCAUGUUAGCCAGCAUGGUCUCUAUCUCCUGACCUCGUGAUCCACCUGCCUCGGCCUCUUUUUUAUAUUUUUAGUAGAGAUUUCACUGUGUUAACCAGGAUGGCCUCGCUCUCCUGACCUCAUGAUCUGCCCGCUUCAGCCUCCCAAAGUGCUGGGAUUACAGGCGUGAGCCACCGCGCCCGGUUAUUUGUUUAUUUAUUUAUUUAUUUUUUGAGACCGAGUCUUGCUCUGUAGCCCAGGCUGGAGUGCAGUGGCGCCAUCUUGGCUCACUGCAACCUCCACCUCCCACAUUGAAGCAGUUCUCCUGCCUCAGCCUCCCAAGUAACUGGGAUUACAGGAGCACACCACCACAUCUGGCUAAUUUUUUGUAUUUUUAGUAGAGAUGGGGUUUCACCAUGUUCGCUAGGCUGGUCUGAAACUCCUGACCUCAUGAUCCACCCGCCUUGGCCUCCCAAAGUGCUGGGAUUACAGGCAAUUCUGCUGCCUCAGCCUCCCAAGUAGCUGUGAUUACAGGUGUGUGCCACCAUGCCCGGCUAAUUUUUGUAUUUUUAGUAGAGACGAGGUUUUGCCAUGUUGCCCAAGCUGGUCUCAAACUCCUGACCUCAAGUGAUCUACCCGCCUUGGUCUCCUAAAGUGUUAAGAUUACAGGCAUGAGCCAUCGGGACCGGCCCACUGUUUUUUCUCGCUAGAAAAUACAGUCUAAAGUGGCCAGGUGCGGUGGCUCACGCCUGUAACCAUCCUGGCUAACACGGUGAAACCCCAGCUCUACUAAAAAUACAAAAAAUAAGCCGGACGUGGUGGCAGGCACCUUGUCCCAGCUACUCGGCAGGCUGAGGCAGGAGAAUGGCGUGAACCCAGGAUGCGGAGGUUGCAGUGAGCUGAGAACACGCCACUGCACUCCAGUCUGGAUGACAGAGCAAUACUCCGUCUCACAAAAAAGAAAAUAUAGUCUAUAAAUAAUGAAGAAAGUAAAGUGAACCUGGGAGGUGGAGGUUAUAGUGAGCUGAGAUCAUGGCACUGCACUUCAGCCUGGGCAGCAGCAAGACUCCGUCUCAAAAAAAAAAAAAAAAAAGAAAUAUGCGAGCUGCUAAGCUAGGCAGUUCUGGCUCAAGAUCUCUCAUGAUACUGCAGACACCACACCAACGAGGACCCCAGUCCUCUGGCACUGGAGGACCCACUUAGAAGGCGGAUGACUCACGUGGCUCUUGGCAGGAGACCUCAGUUCCUCCCCACAUAGGCCUCCCUAUAGGACUGCUUGAGUGUCCCGUUUACCAAAUGAUCUAAAUAUGUUCCGGUUUUGAUUGGCUGCUCUGCAAUGUGGGCCGUUAUCUAGCUGAUUCGGUGGGGCCUGAAGUGUCAGUUCCUGCCGCAGGGAUGUUAUAUGGAACCUUUGGCAGGCCGCUACAGACGAAUCAUAAUAUAAACCUGUGCUAGUUAUUGAUUACGUCCCAGCUCCUGCGUUGCCUGCUCUGUGAAAUGGUUCUGGCCCUUUAGUUUUUCCUUUACCAGCUGGCAUGAUCUUAAGCUUUGUCAGUAGAGGGCGCUGGAGAGACAUUGCAGGAGACGAGUUUCCCUUCCUGCUUCUGGUGUGUUCUCUCUAGGCUCCGGCAUGACGGGUGACUUCUUCCGAGUCUGGCUUCUGCAGCACACAGGGCUUCGCCAGCACCCAGCUCCUGCAGCAUGGGCAGCUCCUGUGACAGCAGGCGCCCGCAGCCUGCAAAGCGUCUCCAGUGCCGCCGCCUCAGUGAACCUCAACCAGCGGCACCUAGCAGCUUUCUCUGCCACCCUCUUCAGGUAGUUCUGUAGCAGCGCGUUUCUCAUGAGACACUUCCCUGUGAGCAGCUUUUUCUACCCUUGAGGAUGGAUUUCCAGCAAAUUCUGCCCAUGUGGUACCACAGCCACUUCUCUGCCAUUCAGUGAAACUGCCGUUGUGCCCUCUUCAAGGUCUGGAUCUAAGCCCAGGGACCAGGAAACCUCUUGCUUGAGUGCUGGAACUCAGGCCAGAAGGUAUGGCUGCUGCUAUGUGCUGUGACCAGAGAAUCAGAGUUCUCUUUACUUCUUACCAGCCAACCUCUUGAAAAUGCCUUUUUGUUUUUUGUUUUUUUUUGAGACGGAGUCUCGCUCUGUUGCCCAGGCAGUGCAGUGGCUCACUGCAACCUCCGCCUCCUGAGUUCAAGUGAUUCUCCUGCCUCAGCCUCACAAGUAGGUGGGAUUACAGGCAUGUGCCACCACGCCCAGCUAAUUUUGUAUUUUUAGUAGUGACGGGGUUUCUCCAUGUUGGUCAGGUUGGUCUCAAACUCUCGACCUCAGGUGAUCCACCUGUCUCAGCCUCCCAAAGUGCUGGGAUUACAGACGUUAGCCAGAGCGCCCAGUCUAAGCCCUUUAUAGCUUAAUUCUAUAUAUUAAAUUUUCCCAGUUCAAAUUACUGUGUGCUUCCCUUCUCCUGAUUGGACCUUGCUUGAUACAAAAUUAGUACAAGGAGUGGUCUCAAGAGAUAGAUGCACAAAGAAGGGAUAUGGGGACGGAUUUGG
rnacentral:lncRNA from 1 species